UACGUGAGGGGCGAACGUUGUUCGGUGUCACUGGGCUUAAAGGGUGCGUAGGUGGCUCUAUAAGUAUGGUGUGAAAUCUCCCGGCUUAACUGGGAGGGUGCGCCGUAGACUGUGGGGCUAGAGUGUGGGAGAGGAAAGUGGAAUUCCUGGUGUAGCGGUGAAAUGCGUAGAUAUCAGGAGGAACACCGGUGGUGUAAACGGCUUUCUGGACCAUAACUGACACUGAGGCACGAAAAGCGUGGGUAGCAAACAGG
rnacentral:rRNA from 1 species